AACCGGAUUAGAUACCCUGGUAGUCCACGCUGUAAACGGUGGGUACUAGGUGUGGGGUCCAUUCCACGGGUUCCGUGCCGUAGCUAACGCUUUAAGUACCCCGCCUGGGGAGUACGGCCGCAAGGCUAAAACUCAAAGGAAUUGACGGGGCCCCGCACANGCGGCGGAGCAUGCGGAUUAAUUCGAUGCAACGCGUAGAACCUUACCUGGGUUUGACAUGGAUCGGGAGUGCUCAGAGAUGGGUGUGCCUCUUUUGGGGUCGGUUCACAGGUGGUGCAUGGCUGUCGUCAGCUCGUGUCGUGAGAUGUUGGGUUUAGUCCCGCAACGAGCGCAACCCUUGUUCACUGUUGCCAGCCCGUUAUGGUGGGGACUCAGUGGAGACCGCCGGGGUCAACUCGGAGGAAGGUGGGGAUGACGUCAAGUCAUCAUGCCCCUUAUGUCCAGGGCUUCACGCAUGCUACUAUGGCUGGUACAGAGAGUGGCGAGCCUGUGAGGGUGAGCGAAUCUCGGAAAGCCGGUCUCAGUUCGGAUUGGGGUCUGCAACUCGCCCUCAUGAAGUCGGAGUCGCUAGUAAUCGCAGAUCAGCAACGCUGCGGUGAAUACGUUCCCGGGGCUUGUACACACCGCCCGUCAAGUCAUGAAAGUUGGUAACACCCGAAGCCGGUGGCCUGACCGUUGUGGGGGAGCCGUCGAAGGUGGGACUGGUGAUUAGGACUAAGUCGUAACAAGGUAGCCGUA
rnacentral:rRNA from 1 species